UAGUAAUUUUUAAAGGGGCCCUGAAACACCCCUCAGGCUUGAUGAAAUAACAUAGUCUGUGGGUAG
rnacentral:lncRNA from 1 species